GCACAUAGAUGCUUUACAGUCUCAGGGGAGGGGGGGGGGGAGGCAGGGUGGGGAAGGGUGACACAGCCGGGUUAAGAACACAUCCUGAAUGCCGUUGUGUUCCAGCUUCGUAUUUCUGUGUUUCUAAAGAUGGCCUGGCAGUCAAGAAUGCAUUUGUAUGUGUGUGUGUGUGUGUGUGUGUGUGUGUGUGUGUGUUGUGUAGUGUAUAAGUUUGCUGUAGGUGAAAUCGUCUCGCAGUUUGAGCUCAUGGGU